rnacentral:lncRNA from 1 species
AUAUAUAGGGGUGGCUGGCCGGGGGGGGGGGGCCGGCUGCUCGGGGAUAGGCUGGGCAUCGGUCAACGGGUGGUGAGCAAUUGCGUUGUGCAUCACUUGUUUUGUACUUUAUUAUUAUUAUUAUUAUUAUUAUUAUUAUUUAUUUUCUGUCCUAAUAAACUGUCUCUAUCUCAACUCACAGGCUUCACUUUCCCGUUUCUCUCCCCCAUCCCAGAGAGGGAAGGGGGAGAGUGAGCGAACGGCUGUGUGGUGUUUAGCUGCCGGCUGGGUUAAACCGCAACACCACUGCAGAUGUUCAUGGUUAUCUUUUAGUCCUUUGAUAAGCACUAAAAAAGGGAAAAGACUUAAAAUUCUAUCUGAAGUAUCUUUUAUGGCACAUGAGGCAGCACCCCUUGAAAUGAGCAGGGCUGGCCAUGGUUGAGAGCUACUUUCUCAUGAAAACCGUAGAGAAAGCUCUCCAUUGCUGAAAUCCUUGUUUGCAGUGAGAGCCAUUACUGACUGUAAACUGCAGUGUACAUAUUGUGCUCAAGUUGCUCUGUGCCAGCCAUGCCAAAAUAACUGUCCUUGUGCUUAUGCACAGCAUAUCCGAGGCACUGACAUUUAUUUUGAGCUCUUAUCAUCUAGAGAAUCCUGGCUGCAUGUUUGGUAAGUGUCUUUGUUUCGCUUUUCUUGACGGAGAGCAAGCAGGAGAGGAUUCGUACCAGUCCAUUCACUCUGUGCCACUCCAUGUAGCUGUUCCUCGCUGCUCAUGAGAUGUUGCUGCGAAUGAGCCAGUGCCCUCAUCCAUUUCCCCAGGACGUUGUGGAGAAGAAAAGCCCACGCACAGUGAGCUCCAGCCUCCUGGGACCAAGUGAACCAGUUGGAUGCCUCAGAAGAUUUCUCUGAUUUGUGCAUGCUCCCUCUCCCUGGUGUUGCAGCAGAGCCUUGGCUGGUUUAUGCCUCCUCCUCUCCUGGAUGGUUGCAGCACAGAACGGGAAAUUGCAAUCAUGCUGCCUGUAGUUUAAAAAACAAACACCCUAACUUGAUUUUACCAGAGUUUGCUGGCAAAUGCUGCAAGAUGAUGGAAGAAAUACCUGUUCAGUCACAGCAUAUCCCCGUGUAUUUUGGCUGCUGCUUGGGUCCCAGUAGUUCCCAGAAUACGACAGCUUUUGAAGUCAUCCCAGAUGCAGAACUUCCUGCAGAUCUUCUUAAAACGACAACUCUGCUGAAGAGAGAGAGGCUGAAUUCCUCAUUAACUUCAUAUGAAAGGUCCUGGUAUAGCAAAAGGCUUUUCUUUUUAGUCUCCCAUGUUUGA